AUAUUAAGUUGACUCUGCUCAAUGAAUUAUUUAAAUAGCUGCAGUAUUUUAACUGUACAAAGGUAGCAUAAUAAAUUGUUUUUUAAAUGAAAACUAGAAUGAAUGAGGUGAUGAAAUAAAAACUUUAUUAAAUUUAAAUUUUGAAUUUAAUUUUAAAGUAAAAAAGCUUUAAUAUUUUUAAGGGACGAGAAGACCCUAUAGAAUUUAACAUUAAAAAAAUUAUUUAAUUUAAUUUUUUUAAUGUUUAUUUGGGAGGUAUAUUAAAUUUAUAAACUUUAAUUUAUUAUUUACAUAAAUUAAUGAAUUUUAUUGAUUUUAAAAAUUAAAUAUAAAAUUAAAUUACCUUAGGGAUAACAGCGUAAUAUUAUUUUAUAGU
rnacentral:rRNA from 1 species